rnacentral:rRNA from 1 species
UCCGUAGGCGGGCAGCUCAGUCAGUGGUGAAAGUUUGCAGCUCAACUGUAAAAUUGCCAUUGAUACUGGUUGUCUUGAAUUAAUGUGAAGUGGUUAGAAUAUGUAGUGUAGCGGUGAAAUGCAUAGAUAUUACAUGGAAUACCAAUUGCGAAGGCAGAUCACUAACAUUAUAUUGACGCUGAUGGACGAAAGCGUGGGGAGCGAACAGGAUUAGAUACCCUGGUAGUC